rnacentral:misc_RNA from 1 species
GUGAAAUUUUCAAUAUAUGCCAAUAUGCCUCACAUGAUAUGUUCAUGACUCCAAAGUAUAGAAUAAGCAGAUGUAAUGGUAAAAUCAAUAACUUUCAUCAUUUUUUCUACCCAGCCAUUCAAUAUUAUCCCUUGCCAUCCUCAUCCUAUAAAAGAAAUUACCUAUUAGUCUAUCAGCAUGCAGUAGAUAUACCAAUUUUACAGUUUUGUGUAUAAUUAUCAGGUGAAUUUGUAAAUUAAAAGACAUACAAUCAGAGCAGCCGAACGACAAA